rnacentral:pre_miRNA from 12 species
UAUCUCAGCACAGUUAAUGGCACUGGAAGAAUUCACGGGAUUUUUUUUAUUAUUCCCGUGAUCUCUUAGUGGCAUCUAUGGUGCAGAGUUU